GAUGAACGCUGGCUCCAGGCUUAACACAUGCGAGUCGAGGGGAAACGACGGGGAAGCUUGCUUCCCCGGGCGUCGACCGGCGCACGGGUGAGUAACGCGUAUCCAACCUGCCUCUGACUGAGGGAUAACCCGUCGAAAGUCGGCCUAAUACCUCAUGGUAUCGUCUGCGGGCAUCCAACGACGAUUAAAGAUUUCAUCGGUCAGGGAUGGGGAUGCGUCUGAUUAGCUUGUUGGCGGGGUAACGGCCCACCAAGGCUACGAUCAGUAGGGGUUCUGAGAGGAAGGUCCCCCACAUUGGAACUGAGACACGGUCCAAACUCCUACGGGAGGCAGCAGUGAGGAAUAUUGGUAAAUGGGCGAGAGCCUGAACCAGCCAAGUAGCGUGCAGGAAGACGGCCCUAUGGGUUGUAAACUGCUUUUAUGCGGGGAUAAAGUGAGGGACGUGUCCCUCAUUGCAGGUACCGCAUGAAUAAGGACCGGCUAAUUCCGUG
rnacentral:rRNA from 1 species